rnacentral:lncRNA from 1 species
GAAAAAUGGGCUACCAUGACAGAAUUUUUGUGAUAGAUAUUAGAAAAUUAGUCAUUUAUCAUAAGAAUAUGAUAGACAUAUGAUAGAAUUUUCGUACAUCAUAAAUUCAUGACAGAUUUCUGAUAGAUUUUUUAUAUAUCAGAUAAACAUGAUAGCGUAUUAAUAUUUAAUCAAACCGUGGGUUUCGAGUGGAAUUAAUUUGGACAUAAAACGAC